rnacentral:piRNA from 2 species
UCCCAUCCCAGGAAGGAGAGUGCCCU